AGCAUUAUUAUCGAUUGUUUAGUAAUAUUUUUCAAUAAAUUUUUAGCCUGUAUUUUUGUGAUUGCAAAAAAAUUUAUUUCUCUGAGUUUAUAUAUCACAUGCACACCCCGACCUAGGCCCUUUUCGACCUAUUUAAUACCAAUGAAUUAUUUUCACAAGCUUAAUAUCUCAGUUCGGUAUUCAACUUCCGUCAAUCACAUGCCUCUUGCAUUUUUUUCUAUCCGAUUUAUUUAAUUAUUGCACUCCAUUUUAUUACCGAGUUAUCUAUCAGUUAUUUAAUUCCAAAAAAACGUAUAAACACGCUUGACAAGUAAAAUAGUACUCAAGGUACAUAUAAUGCAAAAUGGCACACUGUACAUACACUUUGAAAUAUGACCAAGUGAUAGUCGCCACAGGAUAAGAGCUAAACUAAAGGCGCCGCUUCAUCAGUCGACAAAAUAUUCCUCAAUCAAGGAAAUUUAUUUACUCCAAAAAACUGGCAGUGUAAAAUAAAAUUUAAAAUUUCCACCAUUUUGAUUUGAGUUGGUACACAAAGUCACGACAUUCGUACCGCCAUAUGUCAGUUUAUCCCUUCCUAUUCUUCCAUCACCAACGCCAUAAUCACCACCAUCUUUCUACUCCGCUUUCUUUUCAAGCCAGCAGGGUGCGCGCGCAUGUAUACAUACGCUCAUCAUGAAGCUCACGUUGUCUGAUCCUGUACAAUGGUAAUCCAACAUCCACCACAAAUUAAUAGACAGCCGCGGUUGUCGCAUGUGUCUUGAGUCUGCUGCUGUGGUACUGCUGCUAUUCAGUACCGGCGGACUUACGUCAGAGUCCCUUCACUUUUACUCUUCAUCACAUAAUUUUAUUUUCUAUCAUCAUCAUCCUUCAGAUUUUUGAUGUUACUAUUGACAAUCUACUUGAAUAAGUGCGCUGGAAUUCCUAGAUCAAGUUAUUGUGAAUCGAUGACAACAGAUGUACCUUAAUCUAAAGAGUAUUCUCAUCCCUAGUCUAUCAUUUAUUCUAAUUGUCUGUUUAUUAGUUUACUUCUUUUUGGCAACUGUUCAUAAUCUUCUACGAAUGACUGUUAUGUGUCAGAUUAAUUACUACAAGUAAUUUCAGAUGUAAUUAACAACAAAAAAAAAAAAAUAACAGAAGAGCGUGAUAAAGAAGAAAUGAAACAAAAAGGAAGAAAUGUCAAUUUGAGAAUUUUGAAGAUUUUAAUGAAGAGAAGAAAAAAAUAAUUUGUGAAUGUUAACAACGAAGAUAGCAAACAAAAAAAUAUAAACUAACAACAGAUUGUUACUUUAAGGCGCGUGGGCCUUCAAACCAGAAAUUCCUUCUAUAAUCAUGCCUGAAAACAUUGUCUUCGGUAUUUAAGAGCGACAUCUACGUGAAAUACCGAUGAGAAUUGAAAGUAAAGAAUUUUUUUCAAUCCAAGGAAUCAUAAAAAUAAAUUCAUCAUUCGACCGAUGACGAAAAUAAUAUACAUACAUAUGUAAACAUAAAUACAUGAAUAAAAAAGCCGUAUCAGGAGAUAGAAGAUAUUCUGAAUUAUGUUGAGAUGUGUUAUCUCAAUUCCGAGAAAACUUAUCAGCGGUUCACGAUUUUUUGGACCGACUAUGGAGCCUAAAUAUCAAUUACACAGCAACUUUCUAUCUGAAUAAUAAAUAAAGUAAAAAAAAUAAUGAAUAAUGAUCAACCAACAAUCAGUAAGAAGAUUAAAAAAUAUAUUAUUUAAAAUUGAAGAGAUAACUAAGCAAUUACAGCUGGUUAACCGAUUAAAGUAUUAACAUAUUGUGCAGUUACUCACCUAUGCCAGCGGACAUACUAGUUGAUCAGCCAGAAUUUCACAAGAGUGCGCGCAACGAUCCCACACGACAAGCACGUGCUCCACUCGCGCACUCGUGGAAAAUUUAUUUAUGUUAACGAACAGUACUUGGGUUGACCUUUGUCAACAUAAAAUUAAAAAAAAUAAUUAUGAUAAUUACUUUAAACAAAAAUGCUUAAUCGAGUUUAAACUUAAGAUACUUCCACACAAUACACAUUAACAAUUCACGUUUAACUGUUUGAAUUAUAUAACCUCACUUUGUCAUGGAUGCGUGGUCGGUAGACGAGAGUGACAAGAAGGCCGCCGAUACAGUCGGCAGACUACCGUACUUGCCGUCGCAAGAUCGAGUUCCCGUGAAUCAGUCAAAAGAAGAUAGACAUAUGUGAUAGAUUGCAAGAAGAAAGAACAAGAGAGAAGAAAAGAGAAGGAUGAAAGCAUUUGUCCCUCAACACGUUGUUAAAUCAUUUAUAAAAAAAUUUUUUUAUCCAUCGCAUAAAUCAUACAAACAUUUAUUAUUAAUUUUUUUAUGAUAAGCUACUAUUCUUCAAUGUUUUUUUUUUUUUUUUUUAAUAAUAAUAAUUCCAAAGAAGUAGGAUGAUAAAAUACAGCUAUUUAAUUUUUAACACUUGAACAUAUGCUUUUGCUAAAAUUAUGUUAGCCGAACGUUGUGCCAAAGGCUAAUUAUUUUUAUGUAAUACUAUUUUUUUAUUUUCAAUGUAAAAAUUAUUUAUUUCCAAUAUCAA
rnacentral:lncRNA from 1 species